rnacentral:lncRNA from 1 species
UGCGUGUUUACACUGUGGUGGGAAAAGAGGAAGGGGAUGUUCGAGUGGCCAGGCAAGGCCGUGGAGAUGGACCGCUGCCCUCCAUCUGACGUGUCAGCUCCAGUAGACGCUCAGGAUGGACCUCCCAAAGCCUUUGGUCCUGUUUUCUUCUACUGCAGAGACUGGGGAGAUGCUGCUCUCUACCUCAGGGACUGAUGAUACAAUUUGAUCUGAGAAUGCAAAUUGGAGCAACUGGGUGAGACUUCCAGGGGUGCUUUGAUGGGAAGGACUGGCCUCCUUGUCUGUUUGCCUCUGAUGGACAUUUUGCUCCUUCCCUGUGUUCCCUGCCUGGAGGACAGAUGAUUGUCCAAAGGCUCAGCAAACACCGGACAAAGAUAAAUCCACAAAGCCUGCCCUGAAAGUCUUGGCACUGUGCAGGGAGGGCAGAAGGACGAGGUGGACACCCCGAUCUGCUUAUCUGAGGCAUUCCAGCACGUCGCUGGUUGUAGGGGGCAGAAUGAUACCCCCAAAAUGUACAUCUGCCAUGUGACCCCUGAGACCUGUGAGUGUGACCAUAUUUGGAGAAGAAGUUUGGGACGAU